AGUUUGGUGGUUUCGUAGUAUGAUUCUCGCUUAGGGAAAAUCUAUGCAAAAAUAUGCAAUAGGUCCCGGGUUCAAUCCCCUGCCAAACCC